GAAAGAAAUAGUAAAUGAUAUCUAAAGCAUUAUUGUGAUGCAGACAAGAUAUUUAGGGAUAGGCACUGUCCUCAUCAUUUAAUUUUUAAAUAUUAAGGUGAAGUCAUGAAGACAUUUUUAGACAAUAGAAAAUCUUUUGAGGACAGGCCCAGUGUGUUGCCUGUCCAUCGAACAGUUCAAGCUGAUAAGUAAAAGACCACAUGUUAUGAAGUUUACCCAUAAAUUAACCUUCUGUCAAUUGAACCAUAAAAAAUGGCACAAUUACUCUUCCAUAAUGUGCCAUUAAUAAGCUCGUGGCCAUACAACAUAGGUCUACUCUUGGUGAAGCACAAAUAGAAUAUCACAAUAAAAAUACCUUUGAAGUGCAAUAAUAGUAUACCACUAACAAGAGUUCAAAUAAAAGGAAACCAGUUGAUAUUUACCAAAAAGAGAGUUUCAGAUGUCUUAUCGUAUGGAUGCAACAACUUUGAAGCAUCUUGAAGUACAGCCUGAUGUGCAGCCUCAUU
rnacentral:misc_RNA from 1 species